rnacentral:rRNA from 1 species
UAUGCCCGAGCAGGACGAAGCCAGAGGAAACUCUGGUGGAGGUCCGCAGCGAUUUCUGACGUGCAAAUCGAUCGUCCGACUCGGGUAUAGGGGCGAAAGACUAAUCGAACCGUCUA